GGGCGGGGGCGGGGCCGGGGCGGAGGCGGGAUCCCCCUGAAGCCGAGUCUCCGCCUGGUUCCAGACCCCGGCGCCGAGGGGCGCCUGCACAGGCAGCAGAGAGAAGAGUGAGGACGUGAAGGAAGGCGUUCUGGCGAGGAUCACGCCCCUUAAACCUUUCCUCCUUCCUCACCUCGGUCCCUCCCUCGAGGUCCUCUGAGUUGCCCGCCCCCUGCUGGAUGCCAGCAAUGACAUAAACAUGGCCAGGGAGACUCCAUUCUACAAGGCUCAUGUGUGAUGGCCGCGUCCGGAGGAUGGGGUGCUGUGACGGAGGAUGUGGCUGGGGAUGGCUGGAGGUUAAAAAGAACGGUGGGCGAACGUGGGAGAGAGAGAAACCACUGCUGAGCCGCCAUCGUUCACUAGCGCCAUCUCUAGCUCGUUGAGCUCCAGCCGAAGGAGAAGGGGGGGCCACACCUGCAGCGUAUGGCUAGCAGUCAAAUCGGAGCUACAGAUGCCAGCCUACACUACAGCUACAGCAACUUGGGAUCCAAGCCAUGUCUGCAACCUGCACUAUAGCUCAGGGCAACUCUGGAUCCCCAACCCACUGAGCCUGGCCAGGAAUUGAAACUGUCCUCCUGGAUACUACUCGGAUUCAUUUUGCUGCACCACAAUGGGAACUCCUAAAGAUUAAUUGGGCAUAGGUGUCUGGGUUAUAUUUUUCCUCUUGUUGAAGAAACAGGAUCCUUUGUCCUGUCUCCUCACCCCGGUUGGAUUCUGCAGUUUAAAGCGUGACAACUGCUAGUGAGUACACAAAGUGCUACUUUCUUGGGGAGAAAGGUAAAAACCUGUGAAAAUUAUGUGGUAUGCACUCAGAAUUUUGUGCUUCCUGGCUGACAGACUAUUUCCUUGCCCUUAAGCUAGUUGACAGCUCCAAACAUGAGAAGUAAUAACAAAAUGCAAAAUAAUUCUUGUUCACAAACAUUCAAAUUCUGCCAGGCGGAGAUUCAACUGGUUGCCCUCUCCCACUGCAGAGAGAGGCUGGUCUUGUCUUCAUUUGCAUAUUCAUUUCAAUAUACCUGAACAUUAAAAAGAUGCUGAGAUGUUACCAGUUUUCUCAGCAGAGUUAAUGAAAGCUAUGAUUUUUACCAUUUUUUAAAUUUAUUCUUUAAUAUAUAUAAUGUGUGAAAUUAUAUAAAACGAGCUCCUGGAACCCAGCACCCAUUUCUAGGGCUGAGGAAAUCUCUUUUUUUGUUUUGGUCAUGCCCUCAGCAUGGGGAAGUUCCCGGGCCAGGGAUCGAACCCAUGCCAUGGCAGUGACCCCAAGCCACAGCAGGGACAACGCUGGACCCUUAACUCGCUAGGCCACAGGGAACUCCUGGUUAACUAUUUUAUAUUAUGUACUUUAUUUAAUUUUAUGUUUUUAAUUUUUAUAUUGGAGUAUAGUUGAGUUACAAUAUUGUAUUAGUUUCUGGUGUAUAUAUAACAAAGUGAUUCACUUAUACAUAAACAUAUAUCCACUCUUUUUCAGAUUCUAUUGCUACAUAAGUUAUUACAGAAUAUUGAAUAAAGUUCUCUGUGCUGCAUAGAAGGUCUUUGUUGAUCAUCUGCUUUAUAUACAGUAAUGUGUAUGUUAAUCCCAAAUUGCUAAUCUAUCCCUUCCCCCCACCUUUCCCCUUUGCUAACCGUGUUUUCUUUCUGCUUUUUAGGGCCACACCUGCAGCAUAUGGAAGUUCCCAAGCUAGGGGCUGAACUGGAGCAAGAGCUGCUAGCCUCUGCCAGAGUCACGGCAAUGCCGGAUCCCCAACCCACUGAGCAAAGCCAAGGAUCAAACCCGAAUCUUCAUGGAUACUAG